CGGCCUGUGGGGAGCGAAAGCAAAAGCAAAGCCAGGCCGGGCAGGAGGAGCCUUGCGCUGAGGGACGGGCGGCCUGCGGACCGCGCCUGGCCGGCUCUCCAGGCAUAGGGGCAGCUGCUGCCGUCGGUCUGAGCUCGCAAGUUUGAGGCCGCUGCUGAGAGCCGAACGAGAUGUGGAAGACCCCGUAGGUCCCGAGGGGAAAGUCAGCGACUGCCCCCUCCUCUCACAACGUUUCACAACUAAAUCAAAAGUCAUCGUGCAGCAGAAGAGGGUGAAAGGAGAUAACGACAGAAGGGGAGGAGCGGGGCUGUGUCCUUUCACAGACCGGGCAGUGAAUGCGAGGGAAUGGGACCUGCAGUGGAUCAGCAGAGAUUCUGAGAACUGAAGGCCUCACCAGAGUGAACAGAAUCAGUGGGUUACAGUGUAUGAGCACAAAGUCUUACUAGCCACUCUCUUACUCCUCCCUGUCCCUGACCUCAAGGUACAGAACCUUCUACCGUGUCCCUCAUCUUCAUGCAGGAUCUUCUUCCCUUUUUGUUGCUGGAGGACAACAUGAACUCCUCCUGCUAACUCCUGGACCUUUCUUUAGUCCAUCUUUCUGAGCUAUGAGGCCAGCAGAAGCUCCCGUGUAUCCUGCUCUCUGUGGGACAACACCCAUUGCAAUGGGCAGGGGCUGGGUCCCUCUGUGUGAAGAAGCGGCAGAGGAGAACUAGCUAGAAGGGCUGGAAAGGCAUACUGGGGAACCUCCUGCUAUGAUAAGAGCAGUAACUGCUUUUGUAUACCAACCAAAUGGAAACUGAAAACUCUAUAAUAAAACCAACAGUAAGUGACUUUCAGAUCAGAAAACAGGUUUGCAAGACACAGUUUGUGAGCACGCCAUGGAAUGCAAACUGCCUCACGUUUUUUGGGGUCAGAGGAGGAAGCCAUCCCUCCCAUCUACAAAGAUCAGCUUGGGUGAGAAGCCAAGGCUCUAAAAACAUGACACUAUUAAAACAUGUUCCUCGGUUUCAUAUGGAUAUCGAGGAUGCAAAUGGGUUUGGAAUAGGUUUGUCAGUCAGUAAGAGAAAUGAAGAGUCGCAUCUUCCCUUUGAGCCCAAGAAACAGUGAGACAUAAUGAGCUUUUUUCUAUUUGAAGAAGUUUUAUUAUUACUUUCUAAGCUUUCAAAAUUUUUUGGAGAAUCUGAGUAAAAUGUUAGAGGCUUUCUACAGUAGUUUUUAUGGGUUGAGUGUCUAAUUAUUUCUCAGUUCUCUUCUAAGUUUCACAGAUAGGAAUCUCAACUCAUAGAAAGAUUAAACCCACAACAUGCUCUGUCUUGCACUGGAGUUCCCCAGGCCUGAGCUGGGAGCUCAACCUUGUGCUGCAUGGAAAUGCAUGAAGGAAGGUAUGUACAAAAACCAAGCAGGAGCCAUCCUGGCUGCUUAGCCAAACUGCACCAGAACCUAACAAGUCCAUAAGGGAGCUGUCUGCUUUCGCUAAGAGCUGUCAGUUGGGAACUCUGGAAAUACACAGCCCCUUGCUAGGCCAGGUCUGCCUUUCCAAAGGAAAUGACAUGCAGGUAGUCCCCCUGUUCCCCAUACUCUUGUAUGGCCAACAGGCACACGUUUAGAGAACUCCUCUGGGGAGCCGACAGCUGUUCUGAAGUACUCCGUGUAUUCAAAAUACCAACUUUGAAGAACACACCUGCAGUGCAAGCACUAGAAAAUUGGAGGUUAUAGGGUGGGCCUCUUUCAGGAUUCUGCAUUUGUGAAAGUAGCUACUUAGAUACCUGAGUCUCUACUGAGAGUAAUAGUGAUGAAACUCGUAUUACAAGUCUCCACUGUCCUUUAUGGAGUUGUUAUAUGAUCUCAAGGUACCCACUGGACUGGCUCCUGUAGAUAAGAAAGGUUUUACUAACUUCUGUGCAGGCAGAUGCUCGCAUCUCCAGCAGGGAGGCCAAACCUCUGAUGAUGAUUCUCUUCUUCUGGUCAAAAUGUCAUCUCCAGCAUCUGCUACCUGACCCUAACUGCAGAAGAGAUUUUUCUCCUUUCCUUGUAAACAUCAAUCCCUCACAAUACUGAACAUAAGCUCUAGAUGCAAAAAUUACAAGUAGCAAAGCUGAAGUUUAUU
ensembl:lncRNA